GCCUCGAUAGCUCAGUCGGUAGAGCAGAGGACUGAAAAUCCUCGUGUCACUGGUUCGAUUCCAGUUCGAGGCACCA
rnacentral:tRNA from 2 species